ensembl:lncRNA
GAGAGAGAGACCGAGAAAGAGAGGAGAAGGAGAGAGGGGGAGAGAUAGAGAUUAAGACAAAAGGGCUUUAUUUUCAGACAGAAAUACUCCUCAGUUUCACCAGCAUCGUCCGGGUGGCUGGUCCCGGACGAUGCCACAGGUGAAGAAGCCAGAUGUGGAGGUCCUGGGCUGGCGUGGUUACACAUGGUCUACGGUUGUGAGGCCGGUUGGAGUAUAUAGAGGGGGAAUGGAGAGAGCUUUUACUCAAAUAUCCAAACCCAGCCUACCAAACAGUGAACUGAUAGCUGCCACAGACUGGAAAGCGACAUUGUAUCUGUUUGGCUUGGCUCUUAGGUGUCAAGCGUAGUUCAGCCCUGCUAAGGAACAGAGAGUGACAAUCACAAAGCUAUCCAGCUAGCACAUUCGGUUCCUUGUAAGUUGUGGGAAAGUAUGUUUUUGGUUUGACAUUGGUUGUGAGAAGAAAGCCAUAAGUGUCCUGAUCGAUAAAACGGAAUGUUCUGACAACAUAAGUGAAAAAGCACACAAAACAAAGGCUCAUGUAGGCUAUCCGCGCAUGUUUGUUCACUCACAAAUGACUUCCAGCAGCCAAAUAGUGCUCUGUGCACCCGCCAUUUGAUGAAUGGAAAGAAACAUCUGUUAAAACACCCAAUUAGUUUAAUGACAUUCGACGAUUGAUGACAUUCAGCGAUUGCAUUGAUGCGUCUGCUGCUGCCCGGGCGCUUCAGUCUCGGCCAGUCAUCUCCUCCAUGGAAAAAUGUCAGUGUUCUCAUCAAACCACACCGCAUUUUGGAGUGUAU